rnacentral:rRNA from 1 species
GAUGAACGCUGGCGGCGUGCCUAAUACAUGCAAGUCGAGCGAAUGGAUUAAGAGCUUGCUCUUAUGAAGUUAGCGGCGGACGGGUGAGUAACACGUGGGUAACCUGCCCAUAAGACUGGGAUAACUCCGGGAAACCGGGGCUAAUACCGGAUAAUAUUUUGAACUGCAUGGUUCAAAUUGAAAGGCGGCUUCGGCUGUCACUUAUGGAUGGACCCGGGUCGCAUUAGCUAGUUGGUGAGGUAACGGCUCACCAAGGCAACGAUGCGUAGCCGACCUGAGAGGGUGAUCGGCCGCACUGGGACUGAGACACGGCCCAGACUCCUACGGGAGGCAGCAGUAGGGAAUCUUCCGCAAUGGACGAAAGUCUGACGGAGCAACGCCGCGUGAGUGAUGAAGGCUUUCGGGUCGUAAAACUCUGUUGUUAGGGAAGAACAAGUGCUAGUUGAAUAAGCUGGCACCUUGACGGUACCUAACCAGAAAGCCACGGCUAACUACGUGCCAGCCGCCGCAGUAA